GGCAGAGCUAUGUCCUCUUCUGCCUGCCUGGGCACAUCAUGUCUUUUUCGGCACUUUCCACCAAGCCAACAAUGUGAGGACAUUUGCAUCUCUGAGCUCCAGUGCUCAGACACCAUUUUAAGCUAGACUUAGUAUGUCUUUAGUAUUGCCAUUUUAAGCCUGGCUGAACAAAACUGCUGUAUCUGUUACUCUUCAACAAGUAUUCUGAAGCGUGGAGAGAUCAGCCAGCACCACAGACAGCUCCAGGCCCAACUUCCAGGCUGCCCUUUCAGAUCCACAGCACUGGAGUCCCCACUGCACAGAGGGCAAAAGGGAAAGCUGCUCUUCUUGGGACCUUCUUCAGAGGAUGCUACGAAGGCUACUCUGGAAAGGCCAGCCCUGCGGGGAACCAGCAAGCAGAUCCAAGCACAAGAGCAGCCCUCCCCUCUGGUGGGUUCCAGCCACUGGGAUUCAGAAGAAGCUUUGCUGCCUCCCAUUGAGAAGGUGGUGAUACAAGGACGAGUGCAAUCGACACAAGGCAAUAUCCCCAAGGCAACUAUCUGUAAACAAACAAUAAAUGUCCAUAAAAAUGGCAAAAGUAGUUUCUUUCCCAAAUAGGUUUUAUCUUAAACCAUUGCAAACGCAGUAAAUAAAGAGAUCACUUGUAAUAUGUCAGUGGUUCAGUGCUCAUUGCUUCUCUUUCCAAAAUAGAUUUUAUCUUGAACAAUUGCA